AACGAACGCUGGCGGCAUGCCUAACACAUGCAAGUCGAACGAGACCUUCGGGUCUAGUGGCGCACGGGUGCGUAACACGUGGGAAUCUGCCCUUUGCUUCGGAAUAACAGUUAGAAAUGACUGCUAAUACCGGAUGAUGUCGAAAGACCAAAGAUUUAUCGGCAAAGGAUGAGCCCGCGUAGGAUUAGGUAGUUGGUGGGGUAAAGGCCUACCAAGCCGACGAUCCUUAGCUGGUCUGAGAGGAUGAUCAGCCACACUGGGACUGAGACACGGCCCAGACUCCUACGGGAGGCAGCAGUGGGGAAUAUUGGACAAUGGGCGAAAGCCUGAUCCAGCAAUGCCGCGUGAGUGAUGAAGGCCUUAGGGUUGUAAAGCUCUUUUACCAGGGAUGAUAAUGACAAUACCUGGAGAAUAAGCUCCGGCUAACUCCGUG
rnacentral:rRNA from 1 species